rnacentral:lncRNA from 1 species
UAAAAGUUAUCAGAGUAUAAACCAUUCUUUGUCACAUUAUAGGUAUUCAAACUCCAACACAAGACAAACUUACUUCAGUAACUAUACAAAAAAAACCAUACCUUCUUCAACUCUCUUAAGAGAAUUCUCAGCAGCAUUGUAAUGAGAAAAAUAAGAAUAAUUAGUACUAUUAAAAUAAUAGGGUUGUGAAACAACUGAGGAAUUUGUGUUAGAACUAUUGAAAACAAAAACAAAGCAUGAGUUUUUAGGAACCUUAAAAGAAAAUCCGACACAAAAACUGAACUCAGAAAAAACCUUUCUUCUGUGUGAAUGAAAUGGUUACGAGAAUGAAAAUAUUAUAAUCUAUUGUGAAAAAUAAAAAUCAAAACAAAUAAGAACAAAUAGGAGCACAAACCUGUUUGUAAAUGAAGAAUGGCGUAAACUCGUUGUGGUUAAGCGUUGAGGAUGGAGGCUUACCGUCAGUGUUCAGUGAAGGAAAGGGUUUGUCAUUCAGUGAGGGAGGAAAGUGAAUGGUGAUGAUGACAGUGGUGUUGGAUUUUUUAGGGUUUGAUUUCAAUUUGGGGGUGACGGUGGCGGUGGAAGCAUUGUUACAUUUUUUAGGGUUAGGUUAGGUUGGAAGAAGAA